GGGAGGCCGAGGCGGGUGGAUCGUUUGAGCCCAGGAGUUGGAGAUCAGCCUGGGCAACAUGCAGCUGAGUUUAAGGCGCAAGGUGGAGAACACAUCAGCUUCAAAGGCAGAGGGAAUCGAAGGUGCUCUCCAGCUUUGGAUACUUCCUCUGCUUGAGGACACCUUGACUAACCCCCAAGGGCAACUAAAGGAUCAAGAAAGGCCCAGCACAGCAGAAGACCAACUGGACUUAGCAACUGCAGGAGGUACGUGCAUCCAUUCAGAGUGUUAAGAUGCUGUUACUGUCACUCUGCCUUCCAGGACUUGGAGGGCUUUACACCCCCUUAUCCCACUCACCACAUUUCCUCCAACC
rnacentral:lncRNA from 1 species